UUAAAAGUACCCCCAUUCGCAUAUACUCUGCCACUCUCUGCCUCUCUCCCAAUCCACCGUCGACGUCUCUGUUACCGGAAACUACGAGGAGAAGACCAAACCAUCAUCGGCGACACCGGCAGUGUUAGCGCCGGAAAAUCCCUUUAAGGCUAAUAUUAGUCUUGUUAAUCCUCUAGGGUUUCUCAAAAUGGUGUUCGAGUUCAUUGGCGGUGAAUCGAAGUUGUUCGUCUGGUGAAAGAUGAGCAAUAACCAUCGGCGGGCUCUUCAAUGGGUUUCCAAGUAGUAAUUGGCGUUCCCUCGUUAUUUUCUGCCUACACUACUUGGAGUACUACUUUGGCAUAUUUGUCGGUCUCUUCUACUUCACCACCCCCAACUACAAGGCUUCCCCCACUUCUAUUUUCUAGCUUUCCAUCACCCCCAUCUCAGGAAAAAUAUGACAUUCCUGACGGGAUGAAAACAUGGGCUUUUUGAAUCAAUUGGUACUGCUUGGAGAAAGUAUAAGAAUCAACUGAAGAAAAACCACUUUAAAGCCUAUGAGAAUGACGAGCUUCGAAUGGAGAAUAGGCCGAUAGAUGUUCCGGAGGCUCACUUUAAGGAUCUUAUUAAAUAUUGGAACUCCGAUUCCCACAAGGUGUUGUAGAUGAAGAAAUUUAGGACGGAGGCAGUGAAGAUCUAGACCUUACUCAAGAAGAAUUUUGAAUUGUUGUAGAUGCAUGGUCUAGCUAAGAAUGUUUGUUUUCAACAUUUCGAAACUUUCUUUAACUCUUAAAAUGUAUAACUUAUGUAUUCAGGGAAAAAUGGUUUACUUUAUGGAUAUUAUUAGGUCGUUGGACAA